rnacentral:RNase_P_RNA from 1 species
CGGGGCGACCCGACGGAAAGUGCAGCAGAGAGCAGACCGCCGAUGGCCCGUCAGGGCACAGGCAAGGGUGAAACGGUGGAGUAAGAGCCCACCAGCGUCACGGGCAAUCGUGGCGGCUAGGCAAACCCCACCCGGAGCAAGGCCAAGCAGGGACGACCGGUGGCCCGCCGAAAGUCCCGGGUGGGCCGCGUGAGCGCGCCGGUAACGGAGCGCCUAGAUGGAUGGCCGUCCUCGACAGAAUCCGGCUUACAGACCGACUCGCAAC